GAGGCUGGGGCUCCAUGGUAGAGCUCUUGCCUCGCAUGCACAAGGCCCUGGGUUCAAUCCCCAGCACCACCA
rnacentral:tRNA from 1 species